rnacentral:ncRNA from 1 species
GAUAACACUUUGAUCGAGAGCAUGACGGGACAGGGAAUUCAGCGAGCCGAUGGACGGUGUGAAUCGGCCGAAUGCCUGGCAUGGUAGCUCGGGAGUAGAUACUGCGACUGCGGAAGUGGUAUCCGGGAACCACCGUUAUCGGAUUGAGAGGUGUGCUGUGCACACAACUUAGGUGGUACCGCGAGCAAAUCGUCCUAAUU